rnacentral:miRNA from 1 species
UCUACAGUGCAUGUGUCUCCAGCG